rnacentral:rRNA from 1 species
GACGAACGCUGGCGGCGUGCUUAACACAUGCAAGUCGAACGAGUGGCGAACGGGUGAGUAAUACGUGGGUAACCUGCCCUUUUUUUGGGAUAAGCCUUGGAAAUUGGGUCUAAUACCGCAUACGGUGGAUGGGCUCGCGGCCUAUCAGCUUGUUGGUGGGGUGAUGGCCUACCAAGGCGGGGACGGGUAGCCGGCCUGAGGGGGUGACCGGCCACAUGGGGACGGAGAGACGGCCAAGAAUGCUACGGGAGGGAGCAGGGGGGGAUAGUGCGGAAGUGGCGCAAGCCUGAUGCGGGAACGCGGCGUGGGGUAUGAAGGCGUUCGGGUGGUAAACCUCUUUCGCUAUCGAGGGGUAGGUGGAGAAGAAGGGCCGGCUAACUACGUGCCAGCAGCCGCGGUAAUAC